rnacentral:rRNA from 1 species
UACGAAGGGGGCUAGCGUUGUUCGGAUUUACUGGGCGUAAAGCGCACGUAGGCGGAUCGAUCAGUCAGGGGUGAAAUCCCAGAGCUCAACUCUGGAACUGCCUUUGAUACUGUCGAUCUGGAGUAUGGAAGAGGUGAGUGGAAUUCCGAGUGUAGAGGUGAAAUUCGUAGAUAUUCGGAGGAACACCAGUGGCGAAGGCGGCUCACUGGUCCAUUACUGACGCUGAAGUGCGAAAGCGUGGGGAGCAAACAGG